UUUUGUCGGCUGUUCUUUCUCGUUAGUUUGCUAUUUUAACUAUUAUAUCAAUUAGUUUCAGCAUUUGACGUCUGCCAGCUUCAAGUCAUCGUGGCCUUCUUGUAGUCUGCUUCUUCCUCUGCUGGAAGGAGAGAGGAAAUGGAAAGAAAGUGGGCAACUUCCAAGUUCGCGGCUAACUUUGUGCCGUUGCAAUUCACUGCGCUUGGCUUUCUCAACCAACUCGAUGGGGUUGAAACCAACUAAAGUGCGUGAAGCUAGAAAUGCGAUUCCGGCAAUAACAACAACUCCAAAGGUACAGAGGGGAAAGAGACUGAAGCGCGUCAGGGUUGAAAGGUGUUCCGGGCCUCGUUUUGUUCGCCAACUGAAAUGAGUUUAGACUUGGAGAAAUUUAAAUGUAGUCAAUGGCAGGUGUUACAGUUAAACGCGCGCAAACAUUUUCGUCGCUUGGCAGCACUGGCAGAAAAAAAGCAACAAAAAACCCUUCUGUUGUUUGUUGUUUGCAAUGCAUCGUUGCCAUAUUUUUGUUGGUGAACAAUUUUAAAGAGGUUUAAAAGUUAAUAAAUUAAAAAAAAAUUAACUAAA